AUUGGUAACUGGAGCUAAAUCUUUCUGGGGAACCCUAGAACUCUAGUGGGACAGAGUUUAUGGGUAUAUUAUCGAGUGAGAGGAAAGUGAAAUAUUGAUCUGUCAUCUUCCUUUAUGUUAUUUGUUGAGGGUUGUUUCUGGGGCAAUAACUAUUGCACUUCUAGUUUUCCUUGAGUGUAGACCCAAUAUGCUCCUACAGUCAGAAAAACACAAAUCCACAGGCAAAUAGCUGCAUGUGUUCACAGUAAGACUUAAAACAAGACCGUAUUUUCCAAAUUAUUGUUUAUCAUCAUGGAGAUACCCAAGCUAUUUCCAAGUCUUGUUGUUUCUCUAUCCUCAAUAUCUCUAGAAUACAGUCAAUUUCAAUAUCCAUAAUCCUACUAGGCUAGGCAUAUCACCAUCAUUUGCCUAGACUUUUGAAUAUGUUUCUAGAUGGUCUUCAUCCUUUCAGUAUGCUUUCCUCCAGUUUAUUCUACACAUGGAAGCUUUACUAUAGUUAUAAAAUAUAAAUGUGAUCAUGUAAUUUCCCUGCUUAAAACACUGUAGUGUUACUCCAAUGUCAUCUGGAUAAAUCCACACUUGUUAUCAUACUUUGGACUUCUUAGCAUGGUUCAGGAGGUUUAUUUCAAGUAUCAACCUCUCCUACACACACACACGCACACCACCUGAUGUUCCUCACAGUGAGUGUCUAUCAUGGCUGUAAACGUGUUCCUGCCCAAGGAAGAGGAUCUCUGUAACCCCUCUCAUACUUCCUAUUGCCCAGGACACUGGACCUGCAAUGCCUCCUAUGAGACUACAUACAGUGGGCGUGUUAUGGAUGGCUGAAGCACAGCACGGUACUGUUGUAACAAGAAACAGCCUCUUCUUUCGCGCAGGGAGAGAGAAGCCAGAGAUUUAACCGGAAGAACUACAUUGUUUCCAGCCCCCAAGCUGUCCUUGCGCAUCCCUGGGCGGAGGCUGAACCAACUUUGGGAGGAGCCUGGUUUACAGUCUACAGUCUAAAACAAAGAUGAAAACAGCUGCUUCCCAAGAUAACUUCCCUCUUGCCUGGGGACCAGACCAAGAAACUAGCCACAGGAUUAGAAACCAUGGCCCAGGAGCCAUGCAGCUGGAGGUUACAAGAUUUUGACCCUCCCUAAACUGCUCUCAAGAUUGGUGCUUAAGAUAUUUUGUAAACCAUGCCCUUGAUGAUCAGUUGGCACCACCCAGAUUGACAAACUGGCUUAUCUGAUUUAGCACCAGAAGACAGCCACUAUUGUAAAAUAGCAGAGACUAAAACAAAGUAUUGCCAUGCAGUUACAGAUUAUGUUCCCAAGGACAUGAAAC
rnacentral:lncRNA from 1 species